rnacentral:tRNA from 1 species
CGCUAGACUUAGGAUCUAGUGCCGUGAGGUGUGUGGGUUCGAGUCCCUCCAUCCGCACCA